rnacentral:lncRNA from 1 species
CUCAGUGAGUGCUCUUUUUUUUUUUUUUUUCAACUUUCAAAAAGUAUGCCUUUCCCGUUUUGCUUGCUGAAACAUUUAUAAACAUCUUGGUGAGCUUGCUAAUCUACUGAGGGAUUACUUGGGGCUAAAGUUUUUCUCUUUACGAUACCAAGCCCGCGACUUCAUAAGAGGAUAAAUUUGAAAGACNAAGCGGAUAAAAAAAUCAAUUAAAAACGAAAGACAGGUGGAAAUUUUGUUAGAAGACGACAACUG